rnacentral:rRNA from 1 species
AUUGAACGCUGGCGGCAGGCCUAACACAUGCAAGUCGAGCGGAUGAAGGGAGCUUGCUCCCUGAUUUAGCGGCGGACGGGUGAGUAAUGCCUAGGAAUCUGCCUGGUAGUGGGGGAUAACGUUCCGAAAGGAACGCUAAUACCGCAUACGUCCUACGGGAGAAAGCAGGGGACCUUCGGGCCUUGCGCUAUCAGAUGAGCCUAGGUCGGAUUAGCUAGUUGGUGAGGUAAUGGCUCACCAAGGCGACGAUCCGUAACUGGUCUGAGAGGAUGAUCAGUCACACUGGAACUGAGACACGGUCCAGACUCCUACGGGAGGCAGCAGUGGGGAAUAUUGGACAAUGGGCGAAAGCCUGAUCCAGCCAUGCCGCGUGUGUGAAGAAGGUCUUCGGAUUGUAAAGCACUUUAAGUUGGGAGGAAGGGCGUUUGGCUAAUAUCCAAGCGUUUUUGACGUUACCGA